GAUCAUGGCUCAGGAUGAACGCUGGCGGCGUGCCUAACACAUGCAAGUCGAACGAAGCAUACGGACUGGAGAUUCGUCGAAGGACCGUAUGACUUAGUGGCGGACGGGUGAGUAAUGUAUGAGCAACCUGCCUUUCAGAGGGGGACAACAGUUGGAAACGACUGCUAAUACCGCGUAACGUAUCGUGGGGGCAUCCUCGUGAUACCAAAGGAGCAAUCCGCUGAAAAGAUGGGCUCAUAUCUGAUUAGCUUGUUGGCGGGGUAACGGCCCACCAAGGCGACGAUCAGUAGCCGGACUGAGAGGUUGAACGGCCACAUUGGGACUGAGAUACCGGCCCAGACUCCGUACGGGAGGCAGCAGGUGGGGAAUUAGUUGGGCAAGUGGGACGAAAGCCUACGACCCAGCAACGCCGCGUAGAAGGAAGAAGGUCUUCGGAUUAGUUAACUUUCUUUUAUGGAGGGACGAAGGACGUGACGGUACCUCAUGAAUAAGCCACGGCUAACUACGUGCCAGCAGCCGC
rnacentral:rRNA from 1 species